GAACGGUUGGCUCAGUGGGAAGAGCGCUCGAACAGAAACCGAGAGGUCGCGGGUUCGAGUCCCGCAUCGUUCA